AUAAAGCGGCUGGAGACAAUUGGCUUCCCGCCCUGGAAGUUCUUGCUUUGCAUGGCCUUCCCAGCCUAGCAAUAGUGUGGAAGAAUCCUGUGACUCGAAAAUGUCUGCAAAAUCUUCGUUUCGUAAAUAUAUGGCAUUGCCAUAGGUUGAAGAAUGUUUCGUGGGUUAUACAACUUCCAAAGCUAGAAGUUAUUUACUUGAUGUACUGCAAAGAGAUUGAAGAAAUAGUUAGCAGGGACAUGAUACAAAUGGAAGAUUCAGAGGCAUUUCCUAACCUCAAAACUCUUUCUAUACGAGACCUUCCUGAGCUGAAAAGUAUCACCCAAUGGGCAUUGGUUUUUCCUUCCCUGGAAAGCAUUGCUGUGAUUGAUUGCCCGCGGCUGAAAAAGCUACCAAUCAAAACUCAUAAGAACUUGACAUUACCAACAGUGUACGGGAGCAAGGAAUGGUGGGAUGGACUUGAGUGGGAUGAAUGCACCAUUGAAUCUGCUUUCCUUCCAAAGUUUAUGUCAAUCUGAUGCACAUCUAUAUGUGUGAUAUUUAAAGGUAUGUCUUGCUUUAGCUAAAAACCUUGCUAUUUCUAUCAAUUUCUCACGUUCUUUCACAAAGUAGAUUCUCCUCUGGGC
rnacentral:misc_RNA from 1 species